UACGUAGGGGGCGAGCGUUGUCCGGAAUCAUUGGGCGUAAAGAGCUCGUAGGCGGUUCAGUAAGUCGGCUGUGAAAUUCCGAGGCUCAACCUCGGAACUGCAGUCGAUACUAUUGUGACUAGAGUCCGGUAGAGGAGAAUGGAAUUCCCGGUGUAGCGGUGAAAUGCGUAGAUAUUGGGAGGAACACCAGUGGCGAAGGCGGCUCACUGGACCGGAACUGACGCUGAGGCGCGAAAGCGUGGGGAGCAAACAGG
rnacentral:rRNA from 1 species